CCCCGUCGAACAUUUUCUAAAGAUACUGUCACGGUGGUAUGACUCCCAUGGUGGUGGUUCAGUCUGGAUGGAUUUGGUAGGUAUGGUGGAUAGUGGUGGUUCAGUCUGGGUGGGCUUGGUAGGCGUGGUGGAUAGUGGUGGUUCAGUCUGGAUGGACUUGGUAGGUGUGGUGGAUAGUGGUGGUUCAGUCUGGAUGGACUUGGUAGGUGUGGUGGAUAGUGGUGGUUCAGUCUGGAUGGACUUGGUAGGUAUGGUGGAUAGUGGUGGUUCAGUCUGGAUGGACUUGGUAGGUGUGGUGGAUAGUGGUGGUUCAGUCUGGAUGGACUUGGUAGGUGUGGUGGAUAGUGGUGGUUCAGUCUGGAUGGACUUGGUAGGUAUGGUGGAUAGUGGUGGUUCAGUCUGGAUGGACUUGGUAGGUGUGGUGGAUAGUGGUGGUUCAGUCUGGAUGGACUUGGUAGGUAUGGUGGAUAGUGGUGGUUCAGUCUGGAUGGACUUGGUAGGUGUGGUGGAUAGUGGUGGUUCAGUCUGGAUGGACUUGGUAGGUGUGGUGGAUAGUGGUGGUUCAGUCUGGAUGGACUUGGUAGGUAUGGUGGAUCGUGGUGGUUCAGUCUGGAUGGACUUGGUAGGUAUGGUGGAUCGUGGUGGUUCAGUCUGGAUGGACUUGGUAGGUAUGGUGGAUAGUGGUGGUUCAGUCUGGAUGGGCUUGGUAG
rnacentral:lncRNA from 1 species